rnacentral:rRNA from 1 species
GGUGACCUCCUGGGAAGUCCUCGUGUCGCACCCCUU